rnacentral:rRNA from 1 species
CGACGGGUGAGUAACACGUAUCCAACCUGCCGUCUACUCUUGGACAGCCUUCUGAAAGGAAGAUUAAUACAAGAUGGCAUCAUGAGUCCACAUGUUCACAUGAUUAAAGGUAUUCCGGUAGACGAUGGGGAUGCGUUCCAUUAGAUAGUAGGCGGGGUAACGGCCCACCUAGUCUUCGAUGGAUAGGGGUUCUGAGAGGAAGGUCCCCCACAUUGGAGCUGAGACACGGUCCAA